AUAUUCAAAAAUUACAAACUGUUACAUAUUAAUCAACUACGAAAUAUUCAAAAUAUUGUAUGAUCCUCCUCUCAAGCGCUGUAAAUAUUCUAGAUGCAACUUGUACAUUUUUCUAUUACAGGUUGAAACUUGUACAAAAUCGCAGGUAUUGAUGAAACUUCAGCAGCUAAAAUGUAGAAAGAGUUCUAGUGUAAUUAAGUGUUUCAUAACUAAGACAACACUAUUGACUAUGAUCUUUUUUUGUACCUUAUAUGCAAUUGAUGACUGAACAAACGAAGUAGUUCAUAAUUUUUGUGACGUUAUCUUUUCUCUUGAAAACUAGGGGCAUAGGAGCUACUUCAAAGUGAAGUUGCUGUUUCAUAAAAAUGAUAUCAUAAAUCUUCUCUCCUCUCCCCUAUUUUUUUUGCGCAUCGGAUCAAAACUUUAACAAAACAUCGUCUAACCAUCUUCUAGUUGGUCAGUCAUUUGUGACUCCAAAGAGCAACCUGAACCUUCUAUCAGUUCUUAAAGUGAUACAAUGUUCAACAAACAAUAUUGGAGAUGCACUACUGUACGUUUUAUGUUCUCUACCGAUCCCAGUUAUGACAACAGGACCAUGACCAUCACCUUCAAAAUGAAAAUCCGCAGAAUUCGGCACUGGAGCCCAUAAAUCAAGGUGAUGAAAACAAAGUUUCCGGCCAGGAGGUUUAGUCUUUCGUGUAGUUUGAAGUAAAAGGCACAUCAUACCAGUUUGGUGAUCCUUUGGUACAAUCAAGUUUGGCAGACCCUGAAUGUGGUAGUAGGACUCGGCGCCUCCCCAAGUUACUUGAAUUAUUUGUCUUAAUAUAAGUUUAAAAAUAAAGCUGUGUUGUUGCUUUCUUUAGGGCGAUAGUUUUAUAGUUUCACUCUGAUUAAUGAUACAAAAGUGGUCAAUUUGUUUACGGAUGCUUAUAGUAGGUAUCAUAUCUAGCAGCAGCUUAGUCAAAUAAAGCUCGUGUUGGGUAAGUAAGGGAAGGUUAACUUUAUAUUAUAUUGUCAUGUUGAUAAUGAGAAUAGCAUUGCCCUAGGUCAUAAAUGAUUAGAACCCCUUUCUCAGGACUGGAUAUCAUUUUUUUUAGAAAUAAGAUUUAAAAUUAAAAAUCAUAAAAGGCGGGCAAUUCUAUUUUCUACUGUUUUGCCUUCCAACAAAAUAAUACAACUGCCAGAAUGAUCAUAGGUAUUAUUAACUAUAAAUCUUUGGUGCAUUUUGAAUUAUGUAAUUUAAACAACAAGCUACAGACUAUCACAUCACCUUGAAAUAUAUAGUUUUUAAAUUA
rnacentral:lncRNA from 1 species